rnacentral:rRNA from 1 species
AUUGAACGCUGGCGGCAGGCCUAACACAUGCAAGUCGAACGAGUGGCGGACGGGUGAGUAAUGUCUGGGACACUGCCUGAUGGAGGGGGAUCACUUCUGGAAACGGUAGCUAAUCCCGCAUACCAUCAGAUGUGCCCAGAUGGGAUUAGCUUGUUGGGGGGGUAAAGGCUCACCAAGGCGACGAUCCCUAGCUGGUCUGAGAGGAUGAACGGCCACACUGGGACUGAGACACGGACCAGACUCCUACGGGAGGCAGCAGUGGGGAAUAUUGCACAAUGGGCGCAAGCCUGAUGCAGCCAUGCCGCGUGUAUGAAGAAGGCAUUCGGGUUGUAAAGUACUUUCAGCGGGGAGGCGUUACCCACAGAAGAAGCACCGGCUAACUCCGUGCCAGCAGCCGCGGUAAUAC